rnacentral:rRNA from 1 species
UACGGAGGGUGCAAGCGUUAUCCGGAUUCACUGGGUUUAAAGGGUGCGUAGGCGGGCAGGUAAGUCAGUGGUGAAAUCUUCGAGCUUAACUCGGAAACUGCCUUUGAUACUAUCUGUCUUGAAUAUGGUGGAGGUAAGCGGAAUAAUGUCAUGUAGCGGUGAAAUGCUUAGAGAUGACAUAGAACACCUAUUGCGAAGGCAGCUUACUACGCCUAUAUUGACGCUGAGGCACGAAAGCGUGGGGAUCAAACAGG